GAUGAACGCUGGCGGCGUGCCUAAUACAUGCAAGUCGAGCGAACGGACGAGAAGCUUGCUUCUCUGAUGUUAGCGGCGGACGGGUGAGUAACACGUGGAUAACCUACCUAUAAGACUGGGAUAACUUCGGGAAACCGUAGCUAAUACCGGAUAAUAUUUUGAACCGCAUGGUUCAAAAGUGAAAGACGGUCUUGCUGUCGCUUAUAGAUGGAUCCGCGCUGCAUUAGCUAGUUGGUAAGGUAACGGCUUACCAAGGCAACGAUGCAUAGCCGACCUGAGAGGGUGAUCGGCCACACUGGAACUGAGACACGGUCCAGACUCCUACGGGAGGCAGCAGUAGGGAAUCUUCCGCAAUGGGCGAAAGCCUGACGGAGCAACGCCGCGUGAGUGAUGAAGGUCUUCGGAUCGUAAAACUCUGUUAUUAGGGAAGAACAUAUGUGUAAGUAACUGUGCACAUCUUGACGGUACCUAAUCAGAAAGCCACGGCUAACUACGUG
rnacentral:rRNA from 1 species